UGCUAAUACUGCAAGUCGAACGAAACUCUGGAUUGAUUGGUGCUUGCAUCAUGAUUUACAUUUGAGUGAGUGGCGAACUGGUGAGUAACACGUGGGAAACCUGCCCAGAAGCGGGGGAUAACACCUGGAAACAGAUGCUAAUACCGCAUAACAACUUGGACCGCAUGGUCCGAGCUUGAAAGAUGGCUUCGGCUAUCACUUUUGGAUGGUCCCGCGGCGUAUUAGCUAGAUGGUGGGGUAACGGCUCACCAUGGCAAUGAUACGUAGCCGACCUGAGAGGGUAAUCGGCCACAUUGGGACUGAGACACGGCCCAAACUCCUACGGGAGGCAGCAGUAGGGAAUCUUCCACAAUGGACGAAAGUCUGAUGGAGCAACGCCGCGUGAGUGAAGAAGGGUUUCGGCUCGUAAAACUCUGUUGUUAAAGAAGAACAUAUCUGAGAGUAACUGUUCAGGUAUUGACGGUAUUUAACCAGAAAGCCACGGCUAACUACGUGCCAGCAGCCGCGGUAAUACGUAGGUGGCAAGCGUUGUCCGGAUUUAUUGGGCGUAAAGCGAGCGCAGGCGGUUUUUUAAGUCUGAUGUGAAAGCCUUCGGCUCAACCGAAGAAGUGCAUCGGAAACUGGGAAACUUGAGUGCAGAAGAGGACAGUGGAACUCCAUGUGUAGCGGUGAAAUGCGUAGAUAUAUGGAAGAACACCAGUGGCGAAGGCGGCUGUCUGGUCUGUAACUGACGCUGAGGCUCGAAAGUAUGGGUAGCAAACAGGAUUAGAUACCCUGGUAGUCCAUACCGUAAACGAUGAAUGCUAAGUGUUGGAGGGUUUCCGCCCUUCAGUGCUGCAGCUAACGCAUUAAGCAUUCCGCCUGGGGAGUACGGCCGCAAGGCUGAAACUCAAAGGAAUUGACGGGGGCCCGCACAAGCGGUGGAGCAUGUGGUUUAAUUCGAAGCUACGCGAAGAACCUUACCAGGUCUUGACAUACUAUGCAAAUCUAAGAGAUUAGACGUUCCCUUCGGGGACAUGGAUACAGGUGGUGCAUGGUUGUCGUCAGCUCGUGUCGUGAGAUGUUGGGUUAAGUCCCGCAACGAGCGCAACCCUUAUUAUCAGUUGCCAGCAUUAAGUUGGGCACUCUGGUGAGACUGCCGGUGACAAACCGGAGGAAGGUGGGGAUGACGUCAAAUCAUC
rnacentral:rRNA from 1 species